GAUGAACGCUGGCUACAGGCUUAACACAUGCAAGUCGAGGGGAAACGCCGGGGAAGCUUGCUUCCCCGGGCGUCGACCGGCGCACGGGUGAGUAACGCGUAUCCAACCUGCCUCUGACUGAGGGAUAACCCGUCGAAAGUCGGCCUAAUACCUCAUGGCAUCGUCUGCGGGCAUCCAACGACGAUUAAAGAUUUCAUCGGUCAGGGAUGGGGAUGCGUCUGAUUAGCUUGUUGGCGGGGUAACGGCCCACCAAGGCUACGAUCAGUAGGGGUUCUGAGAGGAAGGUCCCCCACAUUGGAACUGAGACACGGUCCAAACUCCUACGGGAGGCAGCAGUGAGGAAUAUUGGUCAAUGGGCGGGAGCCUGAACCAGCCAAGUAGCGUGCAGGAGGACGGCCCUAUGGGUUGUAAACUGCUUUUAUGCGGGGAUAAAGUGGGGGACGUGUCCUUCAUUGCAGGUACCGCAUGAAUAAGGACCGGCUAAUUCCGUG
rnacentral:rRNA from 1 species